CUUUCCCUCUUUCGUCAGGCCUAACACAUGCAAGUCGAACGGCAGCACAGUAAGAGCUCGCGCUUACGGGGGGCGAGGGGCGGACGGUUGAUGAAUACAUCCGAAUCUAUUUUUUCGUGGGGGAGAACGUAGGGAAACUUACGCUAAUACCGCAUACGACCUACGGGGGAAAUCAUGGGAUCUUCGGACCUUGGACGAGUGUAUGAGCCUUUGUCGGAUUAGUUAGUUGGCGGGGUAAAGGCCCACCAAGCCGGAGCUGCGCAGCGGGUCUGAGAGGAGGAGCAGGCACACUGGAACGUAUACACGGUCCAGACGCCUACGGGAGGCAGCAGUGGGGAAUAUUGGACAAUGGGCGAAAGCCUGAUCCAGCCAUGCCGCGUGUGUGAAGAAGGUCUUCGGAGUGUAAAGCACUUUAAGUUGGGAGGAAGGGCAGUAAGUUAAUACCUUGCUGUUUUGACGGUACCAACAGAAUAAGCACCGGCUAACUUCGUG
rnacentral:rRNA from 1 species